rnacentral:RNase_P_RNA from 1 species
GGUUGCGGGUGGACAGUCGCGAAUUAAGGAAACUUAAUUUGAGGAAAGUCCGGACACUCAUUGUUAUUCGCAAGAGUAGCAUAACAAUAACGGGUAACACCCGUCGCCCGCCCUGGGCGGAUAGAGGUGCGAACAGAGACGUCGCAAUCGAAAGAACGCGACACCCUGGGAAUUCUUAGGGUGAGCUUCUGUGGUAACACAGAAGGUGCAACGGCCAAAUCCUUAUUGGGUGCAAGGUCGUGCCCAGCACCACUUUUAUGCUUAAAGAAAGCAUAAAAGUGGUGCUGGGAGUGCCGCUACGAUUCCUUCAAGUAAUUGAGGAACUCAGAUAAAUGGCUGUCGGUCCGAUGUUACAUCGGACUACAGAAUCCGGCUUAUAACCCACAACCCUAA